rnacentral:lncRNA from 1 species
GCACAUAUACCUAGAGUGGAAGUCAAACCAAGCUCGACUAGUCCUAACACAUACACUUAGGGUCUAGUCAGCCUUUUGCUCUAGCACAUAUACCUAGAGUAAAAUCCAUACCCAAUUGAGCUCUAAUACAUAUACUUAGAGCUCAAGCAAAUCAAACCCCACGAACCCUAACAUAAUACCUUGGUUAGAUCCUCACUUUAGGACAUAUAACUAGAGUGAAAAAUAUAUUAAACUCGGUUAAUCCUGAUACAUACACUCAGAAAUUAACCGUUCUCUACUUUCGGAUAAUAUCAAAUUCGACCUAUCUCAAAACAUAUACUUGGGGUACGGUCACAUCUCCACCUUGGAAUAUACAACCAAG